AGUGAACGCUGGCGGUAGGCCUAACACAUGCAAGUCGAACGGCAGCACAGUAAGAGCUUGCUCUUACGGGUGGCGAGUGGCGGACGGGUGAGGAAUACAUCGGAAUCUACUUUUUCGUGGGGGAUAACGUAGGGAAACUUACGCUAAUACCGCAUACGACCUACGGGUGAAAGCAGUGGAUCUUCGGACCUUUCGCGAUUGAAUGAGCCGAUGUCGGAUUAGCUAGUUGGCGGGGUAAAGGCCCACCAAGGCGACGAUCCGUAGCUGGUCUGAGAGGAUGAUCAGCCACACUGGAACUGAGACACGGUCCAGACUCCUACGGGAGGCAGCAGUGGGGAAUAUUGGACAAAGGGCGCAAGCCUGAUCCAGCAAUACCGCGUGGGUGAAGAAGGCCUUCGGGUUGUAAAGCCCUUUUGUUGGGAAAGAAAAGCAGCAGGUUAAUACCCCGCUGUUCUGACGGUACCCAAAGAAUAAGCACCGGCUAACUUCGUG
rnacentral:rRNA from 1 species